rnacentral:lncRNA from 1 species
UUGGUGACACGGCGAGACCGUGAGGAGAGACACAACGGCAUCAGCGACACAUUCACCAGUUCACCACGCGAUCACGAGAUGCAGUGGAUAAUACAAAAACCUCUGCGCCCGAGUUCUAGCCUUUCAAAAUCCAAACGAUAGCGGCGACCAGCUGGCCGGGCUCGACGAGGACUACGGCAUGUGAUCUUGGUCAUUUCCCUCUACCCUUUUAUUUUUUUUUGUGAUUUGUGAAUCUUAGUUCUGUUCAUGUCCCAAUUGCCUAGGUACUAGUUUUUUUUGUUUAAUUUUUGUCUAGUACUUUAUACUUAUAAAGUUAUAUUUUUCUUGUAAUUUAGGUCAGGUGUUAGAAUUUUAGAAUGGUACAUAAGAAAUAUUUGUCAGGUACCGUGAAAAGAAAAUGAAAAAGACAAGAAAAUCAGUUUGUCUAUAUAUGAUUGGAUUUGCUUUCUCUUUAAAAAAAUUAGCUUAUAUUAUUAUAAAAUUUUAUAGUUUAGGGAUCGUCGCAAUGUAUUCGGCAGGACCGACACUGAGGAGAGCCUGAAGGUGUCUCGAGAUUGAAGAAAGCUCUCCCUAAUUGUUUUCCUAAAUCCAUCCCUGCUUUGGAUGGUUAUUUUGUUAUAAUUCCUUUUUUAUUCUGUAUUAAUAUAUGCCUCACAUUUUCUUGUCAUUGGCUUUCUAAAAAAAUUAUAGUGAUGUCCUCAAUAGUGGAGUGGUCUUUAACCCGUUUAGAACGACCGUUGACGACUCAAAUUCUAUACAAAUUCUAAAACUUCAAUUCGGACCGGCUAGUUUGCCCACAGAAGCCACUGCCAUUUGUUUUGAUCAAAAUAGUUUUGAUAGAUGGACGUGCUUGUGAUCAGUGGCGGAGCCAGGAAUUAUUUUUAGGUGUGGCGGGUUUGUAAAGGGCAAUUGGUUAACUAUGCAUACACACCCUAAAACAUUAUGUAUAUAUACAUAUAGAGCAAAUAUAAUAGAAAUCCAAAAGUAAAGCAUUAAUACUUAAAAUACCUCACUAAAUGAAGAUUCUUUAUAUUCUACCUCUUGAAUAUCCACCGGAACGAGCUUAAUGCCUGCAACCUCUACCUCUUCUUGUUGUCCAGCAACACCAUCUACUGGCAUAGCUGGGUUGG